rnacentral:rRNA from 1 species
AUUGAACGCUGGCGGCAUGCCUUACACAUGCAAGUCGAACGGCAGCACGGACUUCGGUCUGGUGGCGAGUGGCGAACGGGUGAGUAAUGUAUCGGAACGUGCCCAGUAGCGGGGGAUAACUACUCGAAAGAGUAGCUAAUACCGCAUACGCCCUACGAGGGAAAGGGGGGGAUCGCAAGACCUCUCACUAUUGGAGCGGACGAUAUCGGAUUAGCUAGUUGGUGGGGUAAAGGCUCACCAAGGGGACGAUCCGUAGCUGGUUUGAGAGGACGACCAGCCACACUGGGACUGAGACACGGCCCAGACUCCUACGGGAGGCAGCAGUGGGGAAUUUUGGACAAUGGGGGCAACCCUGAUCCAUCCAUCCCGCGUGUGCGAUGAAGGCCUUCGGGUUGUAAAGCACUUUUGGCAGGAAAGAAAUCGCAUGGGUUAAUACCCUGUGUGGAUGACGGUACCUGCAGAAUAAGCACCGGCUAACUACGUGCCAGCCGCCGCUGUAA